rnacentral:rRNA from 1 species
UACAGAGGUCCCAAGCGUUGUUCGGAUUUACUGGGCGUAAAGGGUGCGUAGGCGGUUGUUUAAGUCUGACGUGAAAUCUCCGGGCCUAACCCGGAAACUGCGUUGGAUACUAUUCAACUAGAGGAAUGGAGGGGAGACUGGAAUACUUGGUGUAGCAGUGAAAUGCGUAGAUAUCAAGUGGAACACCAGUGGCGAAGGC